rnacentral:rRNA from 1 species
UACGGAAGGGGCAAGCGUUGUUCGGAAUCAUUGGGCGUAAAGGGCGCGUAGGUGGUUCUGUAUGUCUACCGUGAAAGCGUACGGCUCAACCGUAUUUUGUCGGUAGGAACUGCAGGACUUGAGGCUGGGAGGGGCUGGUGGAAUUCCCUGUGUAGCGGUGAAAUGCGUAGAGAUGGGGGAGAACACUCGUGGCGAAGGCGGCCAGCUAGACCAGUUCUGACACUGAGGCGCGACAGCGUGGGGAGCAAACAGG